UUUUUGGAGCUCUACUCUCUGCACUAGCUCCUGCGGGAUCUGCUUUCGAAAGUCCAUGCUGCGAAUGUAAGCCGCAACAGCCAUUGUGUGUCCACAAAUUACCAUGCUGCGAACGUAAGAAUAAGUAUAAAAUAAACCAACUCUUUCGACCCAUAACCACAUCUAUUUGCCCCAUAGUUCAGUCUCGGUUCACGCUUAUUACCGACUACCGAUGAUGUGAAAUUCGCACAGCCAAAGCAAUUAGACGCCCUUUUCCAGCUGAGCAAAUAAAAGUUGCACGUAAACUUUUCCACUGCCGCGUGCAACUGGGGGAAACUGUCAGGAUGCAGUCGGGAAGUGUUCCCGGACUGAGACGAGUCCUGUGAAUAUUUAAGCAAACUGCAAAGUAGACAACUUUUGUUUUAAAACUGUCAACGCAGACACGCCUACGACCCGGAGGGACACCAGGAAACCAGGAAGGGGAAAUGAACUAACAAAAAAUACGCCCGAGCCAGGGAAAUCGUAAUAAAAUAAAUUGUUUCAGUGCACGGAAAA